UACGUAGGGGGCAAGCGUUGUCCGGAAUCAUUGGGCGUAAAGCGCGCGUAGGUGGCCUCAUAAGUCCGCUGUGAAAGUCAAAAGGCUCAACCUUUGAAAGCCGGUGGAUACUGUGAGGCUAGAGUACGGAAGAGGCGAGUGGAAUUCCUGGUGUAGCGGUGGAAUGCGCAGAUAUCAGGAGGAACACCAAUAGCGAAGGCAGCUCGCUGGGACGUUACUGACACUGAGGCGCGAAAGCGUGGGGAGCGAACAGG
rnacentral:rRNA from 1 species